rnacentral:rRNA from 1 species
GACGAACGCUGGCGGCGUGCUUAACACAUGCAAGUCGAGCGGAAAGGCCCUUCGGGGUACUCGAGCGGCGAACGGGUGAGUAACACGUGAGUAACCUGCCCUAGGCUUUGGGAUAACCCCGGGAAACCGGGGCUAAUACCGGAUAUGACCUGGUGCCGCAUGGUGUUGGGUGGAAAGUUUUUUCGGCCUGGGAUGGGCCCGCGGCCUAUCAGCUUGUUGGUGGGGUGAUGGCCUACCAAGGCGAUGACGGGUAGCCGGCCUGAGAGGGCGACCGGCCACACUGGGACUGAGAAACGGCCCAGACUCCUACGGGAGGCAGCAGUGGGGAAUAUUGCACAAUGGGCGGAAGCCUGAUGCAGCGACGCCGUGUGAGGGAUGAAGGCCUUCGGGUUGUAAACCUCUUUCAGCAGGGACGAAGCGUGAGUGACGGUACCUGCAGAAGAAGCGCCGGCCAACUACGUG